rnacentral:rRNA from 1 species
UACAGAGGUCCCAAGCGUUGUUCGGAUUCACUGGGCGUAAAGGGUGCGUAGGCGGUCGGGUAAGUCUGAUGUGAAAUCUCACAGCUCAACUGUGAAACUGCAUUGGAUACUAUUCGGCUUGAGGUCUGGAGGGGGGACUGGAAUUCUCGGUGUAGCAGUGAAAUGCGUAGAUAUCGAGAGGAACACCAGUGGCGAAGGCGGGUCCCUGGACAGGUCCUGACGCUGAGGCACGAAAGCUAGGGGAGCAAACAGG